AGUGGUACCUCGGGUUACAGAUGCUUCAGGUUACAUACGCUUCAGGUUACAGACUCCACUAACCCAGAAAUAGUACCUCGGGCUAAGAACUUUGCUUCAGGAUGAGAACAGAAAUCGUGCUCCGGCGGCGCAGUGGCAGCAGGAGGCCCCAUUAGCUAAAGUGGUGCUUCAGGUUAAGAACAGUUUCAGGUUAAGAACGGACCUCCGGAACAAAUUAAGUUCUUAACCCGAGCUACCACUGUACCUGUAUCAGAAUUAUUAAAGGAAUGUCAAGGAGGGAGGGAGGGGGAAAGAGAGAUUGUGGAACUCUGGUGGUGGGUGGUGAUCGGAUGAGGAUUUGAAAGGGAGUUUGAAUGCGAGGCAUUUGAGAGCAGUGGGUUCUGGAAGGGGUGGUUGGGCAACUAUUCAGUUUAGGAUCAGUAGUCUAGUCGUCAUUUUUGUAAUAAAGCAGCAUAUAAGAUAUAGAGAAUUUGAGGCCUUAAGCUCAGAGAUGCACUCCAUUGUUUCUCGAGUCUGCUCUUUUGAGGAAGCAGGUUUGCUGCGCAAGACUUCCCAAUCUACUAUGAUUUCACAGCCUGAAUUUGGCAGGAUGUGAUUGAAUCUCAGCCGAAAAUAGCGACAGCCUGGAAGUGCCCCUGUAUCAUUCAGAUGGAGUACGUUGGCAUGCUAUGAAAGAAAGUGAAUUUCUAUCAGCUUUUCUAGACUGCGGCAUAAAAGGCAAGAGGGCCUUCUGAAG